UACGGAGGGGGCUAGCGUUGUUCGGAAUUACUGGGCGUAAAGGGCGCGUAGGCGGCUCUUCAAGUCAGACGUGAAAGGCCUGGGCUCAACCCGGGAACUGCGUUUGAGACUGGGGAGCUCGAGUCCGGGAGAGGUGAGCGGAAUUCCCAGUGUAGAGGUGAAAUUCGUAGAUAUUGGGAAGAACACCAGUGGCGAAGGCGGCUCACUGGACCGGUACUGACGCUGAGGCGCGAAAGCGUGGGGAGCAAACAGG
rnacentral:rRNA from 1 species